rnacentral:rRNA from 1 species
GUGAAUCAUCGAAUCUUUGAACGCACCUUGCGCUCCUUGGUAUUCCGAGGAGCAUGCCUGUUUGAGUGUCAUUAAUAUAUCAACCUCUUCAACUUUUUGUUUGUCGGGUGUUUGGAUUUGGGGGUCUUUUUUUGGCUUGGCCCCAAGGCUCGAGCUCCCCCUGAAAUGCAUUAGCAGAACAAUUUGUGAACCGUUCAUUGGUGUGAUAACUAUCUACGCUGUUGACGUGAAACAAGUUCAGCUUCUAACAGUCCAUUGACUUGGACAACUUUUCAUUAAUGUGACCUCAAAUCAGGUAGGACUACCCGCUGAACUUAAGCAUAUCAAUAAGCGGAGG